AACGAACGCUGGCGGCGCGCCUAAUACAUGCAAGUCGAGCGAGAAGACGUAGCAAUACGUUUGUAAAGCGGCGAACGGGUGAGGAAUACAUGGGUAACCUACCCUCGAGUGGGGAAUAACUAGCCGAAAGGUUAGCUAAUACCGCGUACGCUCCUUGGACUUCGGUUCAGGGAGGAAAGCGAUACCGUGGGUAUCGCGCUCAUGGACGGGCUCAUGUCCUAUCAGCUUGUUGGUGAGGAACGGCUCACCAAGGCUUCGACGGGUAGCUGGUCUGAGAGGACGAUCAGCCACACUGGCACUGCGACACGGGCCAGACUCCUACGGGAGGCAGCAGUAAGGAAUAUUGCGCAAUGGGCGAAAGCCUGACGCAGCGACGCCGCGUGGGGGAUGAAGGUCUUCGGAUUGUAAACCCCUUUCGGGGGGAAGGAUGG
rnacentral:rRNA from 1 species